UGGGGAAUAUUGGGCAAUGGGCGCAAGCCUGACCCAGCAACGCCGCGUGAGGGAAGAAGGUUUUCGGAUUGUAAACCUCUGUCGCAGAAGACGAAGGAAGUGACGGUAUUCUGUGAGGAAGCCCCGGCUAACUACGUGCCAGCAGCCGCGGUAAUACGUAGGGGGCGAGCGUUGUCCGGAAUUACUGGGCGUAAAGGGUGCGUAGGCGGUUGAUUAAGUUGGAUGUGAAAUACCCGGGCUUAACUUGGGGGGUGCAUUCAAAACUGGUUAACUAGAGUACAGGAGAGGGAAGCGGAAUUCCUAGUGUAGCGGUGAAAUGCGUAGAUAUUAGGAGGAACACCGGUGGCGAAGGCGGCUUUCUGGACUGACACUGACGCUGAGGCACGGAAAGCGUGGGGAGCAAACAGGAUUAGAUACCC
rnacentral:rRNA from 1 species